rnacentral:tRNA from 1 species
AGCUCAGUUGGUUAGAGCAACAGACUCAUAAUCUGGAGGUCCUUGGUUCAAGCCCUAGA